AACGAACGCUGGCGGCGUGCCUAACACAUGCUUGUCGAGCGAGAAAGCCCGCAAGGGUGAGUACAGCGGCGCACGGGUGCGUAACACGUGGGUAAUCUGCCCUGGAGCCCGGAAUAACCUCCCGAAAGGGAAGCUAAUGCCGGAUGAGCCCACGGGGUCCUUGGACCCUGAGGGAAAAGGUGGCCUCUGCAUGCAAGCUAUCACUUCAGGAUGAGCCCGCGGCCCAUCAGCUCGUUGGCGGGGUAACGGCCCACCAAGGCUACGACGGGUAGCUGGUCUGAGAGGACGAUCAGCCACACUGGAACUGAGACACGGUCCAGACUCCUACGGGAGGCAGCAGUGGGGAAUCUUGCGCAAUGGGCGAAAGCCUGACGCAGCAACGCCGCGUGUGUGAUGAAGGUCUUCGGAUCGUAAAGCACUGUCGCGAGGGACGAAUAAGGGCCGGGCGAACAUCCCGGUUCGAUGACGGUACCUCGAGAGGAAGCACCGGCUAACUCUGUGCCAGCAGCCGCGGUAAUACAGAGGGUGCAAGCGUUGUUCGGAAUUAUUGGGCGUAAAGCGCGUGUAGGCGGCCUAGUAAGUUGGGUGUGAAAGCCCUCGGCUUAACCGAGGAAGUGCGCCCAAAACUGCAUGGCUUGAGUACCGGAGAGGGUGGCGGAAUUCCCGGUGUAGAGGUGAAAUUCGUAGAUAUCGAGAGGAACACCAGUGGCGAAGGCGGCCACCUGGACGGCUACUGACGCUGAGACGCGAAAGCGUGGGGAGCAAACAGGAUUAGAUACCCUGGUAGUCCACGCUGUAAACGAUGAGCGCUAGGUGUUGUGGGUGUUGACCCCUGCAGUGCCGAAGCUAACGCAUUAAGCGCUCCGCCUGGGAAGUACGGCCGCAAGGCUA
rnacentral:rRNA from 1 species